CACAGGGCCCAGCACGGGGAAGAUAAUGGGAGACAGCAGCACGAAGGGGGACACAGAGCCCAGCCCUUAGGGUGGGGGACAGACAGCAGCCCAGAGGGGAAGACAAUGACCAAAUACGAGACAAUGGUGCCGCAGAAAUGGAAACUAACCCUCCCUCUGUCAUCAAUUCCAAUCCAACCAGAUGGAAAUGACCAAAUGUAUCUUCAUGAAGAUAUGGGACUAUUGCUAUGGGAGCAGGAAUAUAAGGCUGAGCUUCCUUUAGACUCCAAGACUCCAACCAGGAACUACCCAUUCAGCUCAUGGAGGAGAAAAGGUUUGUGGAAUUCACAUAACUGGAAAAUUGGUUUCGAAGGGAACAGCUUGUUCAGGAAGGAAAAUAAGGUAGGUUGUGUGGCUCAAUAUAUCAAAGAUAUACACUUGCACGGAAGAUGAGAUAGAAGUGGGAGGUAUACCUGCUGAAAGCCUCAGGGAAAUCAUAAAAGGGGUAAAAAAAACAAGGGUGAUGUCAGGGUGGGUGUCUACUAUAGACCACCUAACCAGGAAGAAGUAGUAUAUGAGGGUUUUGUUUGUUUUUUAAAUAACAAAAAGGAAAAUAAUAGAGUAGGGCACAGAUUAUCCAACAAGUUCUUAGAAUGCAUUGGAUACAAUUUUUUAUUACAUAAAGUGGGGAAAGCAACUAAGAGAAGCUAUUCUGGAUUUGGUCCUGACAAACAGGGAGGAACUAGUUGGAAGACAGCUUGGGUGAAAAUGGUCAUUAACCACUGGAACAAUUUACAAAGCAUCAUAGUGGAUUCUCCAUCACUUGCAAUUUUUAGAUCAAGAUUGGAUGUUUCCUAAAAGCUCUGCUCUAGCAGUUAUUUUGGGGAAGUUCUCAGGCCUGUGCUAUACAAGAGGUCAGACUACAAGAUCACAGUGGUCCCUUCUGGCCUGGGAAUCUAUGAAUCCUUCUUGAAUUGUGGACACUAGAACUGGACACAGUAUUCCAGCAGCAGUUGCACCUGUGCCAAAUGCAGAAUUAAUAUUAAACUACUAACUCCUACUUGAUGUUUUCUUGUUUAUACAUCCAAGGAACACAUUAGCCCUUUUGGCCACAAUUGCACUUGCAAGCUCAUGUUCAGCUGAUGACCCAUCAUGACCCUUAAGUCUUUUUCAGAGAAACUGCUUCCCAGAUAGUCUCAUUCCAAUCUUGCAAGCGUAGCCUGCGUUCUUUGUUCAGAUACACGUCCUUACAUUUGCCUGUAUUAAAACACUGUUUCCUUGCACCCAGUUUACCACACGAUCCAGAUCACUUUAUAUGAGUGACCUGUACUCUUCAUUAUUUUCCACUCCCCAAUUUCUGGGUCAUCUGCCAACUUGAUCGGUGAUGAUUUUAUGUCAUCCCCCCCAGAUCACUGAUAAAAAUGUUCAAUAUUGUAGAGCCAAGAACGGAUCCCUAAGGAACCCCAUUAGAAACACAUCCAUUCAUGGAUUAUUCCCCAUUUACAGUUACCUUUUGAGACCUUUCAGACAGUUUUUAAUCUAUUUAUUGCAUGCCAUGCUAAUUUUGUAUCAGUCUAGUUUUCUAAUCAAACGUUGUGUGGAACCAAGUCACAUGCCUUACGGAAUUCUAAGUAUAUUGCACAAACGCUAUUACUUUUAUCAACCACACAUGUAAUCUCAAAACACAUAUCAAGUUAGUUUGAUAGGAUCUAUCUUCCACAAACCUCCACUGAUUGGCAUUAAUUACUUGCCUUUAAUUCUUGAUUAAUCACGUCCCAUAUCAGCCCAAGCCCCUAUUACCCAGAUCGUCCUAUGUACUCUACAAAGAAGCUAAUGUUGUGCCAAUAUUUUAAGUCUACCGGAACGUCCUCAGUGUUCCAAGAUUUAUUGAAAAACAACUUUAAUGGUCCAGUGAGCUCCUCAGCCAUCUCUUUUAAAAUUCAUGAAUGCAAGUUAUCCAGACCUGCUGAUUUAAAAAUGUCUAACUUUAGUAGCUGCUAUUUACCAUCAUCCUGGACUUGCUGUUGGAAUGCAAAGUAUUUCAUCAUCACGACAUCUGUUUUUUCCCCUAAAUACAGAAUAUUUAUUCAGCUUGUAGCCAAGAAUAAAGUAUAUUUAGGAUAUAGAGGUGAAAUCUAAGAAUUAAUGCUCUAACACAGGACCUACAGGCCUCAGGCCUAUAAGAUGUUCAGCUGAGCCACACAAGGCUUUAGACCUGAAACAGGUUGGCAUGACUAGCUGACUGAAAGAUAACCAUGUAUCAGUAAAGUAUAAGAUUACAAUAAUAGAUGUGUUAAGUGCAGAUGUUCCAGAAACUAUGUAGCAAUAGACAGCAAAAUGUGCUGCAAGUGCCAGUUAAUGCCUGAUAGUAACAUUUUGAGGAAUUCUGUAAAAACCUCAAGUUGCUAUGGUAACUCAUUGACAUAGUGUCACAGAGUCCCUGUGCGAUGCUCUGGAACUACUCCCCAUGAAGCCAGUCAGGACUCUGGGGAAGUCUCCUCUCUGGGAGCAGCCUGUCUGCAGGACACACAGCUCACACAGCUUCCAC